UAAGUUGGCCAAAAGAGCAAUCAUAAAUUUUAGAAAACCUCGUCCUUCAUUUCUCUGCAAACUUGACUAGUGGGAUCAUUGCAAAGCAGUGAUAGUGAAGUGCUAAAUAUCAGUAACUCUUUGGCUUCUCAUACUUGAGACAUUCGGAUGCUUCUUAACAAUGCAGAUAGAUACUGAAAGCCAAUUUGAAAUUAACAUUUCUAUAAUCAAAUGACUUUAAAUAUACUGCAUCAAUUUUGUGCAUGGUUCCAAAGAGUGCAAUUUAAUGAGAUGUCUGUAGAAUUUUUACUUUUACAGACCAGUAGAGUAACGCUGAUGGACUGCAUCUGCUUCUGCUAUAUUCAUUCUAUCUGACCUACUGAAUAUUUGGCAUUAUUUUCAUGCCUUGUCGCUGUUUGUUUAGGAUAUAGAAGUGUUUUGGAACUGUUGCAUUUGAGAGGAAGGAUCAAGGCAUUUUGAGAAAGACCCAGUUUUGUCUUCACCAGUGACACGUCAUUUUCUGUUGUCACUAUGAGGUAGCAGCUUUGGAGGGCUGUGAGUAUUUGCUCCACAGCUUAUCUCUGUGAACUUGCAGUGCAUUAAAGUAUUUCUCAUACCCACUGUCAACAGUUUAUGGGCUGGUUUGGCCCAGUUCCAUGACUAAUGGGGUUUGGGGACCCAUGGAAUCACACCCCAGGAAAGGGGGAGAGGGGAAAGAGUAGGGAGACGGGCCUAAAAACAAAACAACAGCAACAAUCUGAGGAGAAGAGCUGAUUCACUAAAUACAAUAUAACACAAUAUAAUUAAAAUUGAGGCUAAUAAAUCAGAUAAAAUGAGAGAGUAUCCAAAAACUGAAGGCCAUAUUCUAAUGCUGAAGGUGAGACACCCAGGGAGCACACACACUGCAGAGAUGAGCAGAGGGGAAAAGGGCCAUCUCGUGGCAUGUGAAGAGUUUUAUCUUUCCCUCUGAACGGAAAAUGGAAACACAAAGCCCUCUGGUGGAUGUAGUUCUUCUGAGAACCAGGUACCCAGAGAUAUUGACAAUCCAUGGAACUGGAGCAUUAACUCUUUAACUCCCUAUGCACUACAUGAUGUUAUGAUGUGGAAUAACAAUAACCAAAAAUCAUAAAAACCACGACAAAUGAUGGUAGAUUUGGGUUCUGUUUAUGGGCUCUGAGAGGAAAAGCAUUGCAAAGGUGACAGCAGGCCUAGAACGGUACAUGCACACUGUCUACAUGGUUCAAGCAAAGGGGAACACACAGGCACAGCAGCAAAAGAAGUCUCAACUAUCACCAUGUGCUGUUCUCUACGAAUGUUAGAAUUAGCACUUUCAGCCUUUAAAUACAGCAACAGAGCCAACUGAGACACCACGGUCCUGAUGCAGGACAAUGGAGUGGACAAAAAGAGGGGCACAGACAUUCAGCAUAUUGCACUGGACUGUUCCGACAAAGCUGUCAACACCCAGAGAGACAAGCUCUCCUAACUGGCACACUGUAACAGGCCAGUUCUGGAAAGCACAAGGAGGAACUCUGAAAACAGUGUUUUGCUUAUUAUUGGGGGCUUGACAGGAUUGCUGUUUUUGCUGUGCACUGUAGUCACAACACUUCUUUUGCUGAAACACAGGAAACCUCCCACUGCUUCAGCUUGCAAGGCACCCAUCAGCUACUGCAGCAGCGGUGGAACUGUGACUGCAUGAUACACACACAGCAGCACUGACAGUUCAGAACUCCAGCCAGUUUCCAGGCUGCUUGUCUUUUAGGACAUAGUUUCAUCCGGAAGCAGACUCUGAAAUCUGGCUCUUGGCUCACUCUGUUACACAGACAAUUGGCUGCUGCUCUGGUUAAAGUGCUGGUUCAUGUAUUGCUUCUAAUCAACAGCUGGUUUUGGUAAGGAAUCCUUGUGUUUGGCCGGAUACCCAGCACCUGCGGAACACAUAUCUACAGCAAAUAUUGUGCUUUGUUUAACUUCUACCUGAAAUAAAGCUGAUGCUAUGGAACUUCAGUUUGGGAAGAUAAGAUUUGGUUUGUUUCACUUGCUACAGUGGCACUUGGGAUGCACUAGCACAAAGCGGUUGUUGCUGAGCUAUUCAAUACAUCUUUUCUCUCCACUUCCACUGAAGGCUUUUUAUUUUGGCUAGUUGUAAACAAUGAUGGUUACUUGGCAUGGAGUUGUGGUUUUUGGUGCUGGG
ensembl:lncRNA